GAUGAACGCUGGCGGCGUGCCUAAUACAUGCAAGUCGAGCGAACGGACGAGAAGCUUGCUUCUCUGAUGUUAGCGGCGGACGGGUGAGUAACACGUGGAUAACCUACCUAUAAGACUGGGAUAACUUCGGGAAACAGGAGCUAAUACUGGAUAAUAUUUUGAACCGCAUGGUUCAAAAGUGAAAGACGGUCUUGCUGUCACUUAUAGAUGGAUCCGCGCUGCAUUAGCUAGUUGGUAAGGUAACGGCUUACCAAGGCAACGAUGCAUAGCCGACCUGAGAGGGUGAUCGGCCACACUGGAACUGAGACACGGUCCAGACUCCUACGGGAGGCAGCAGUAGGGAAUCUUCCGCAAUGGGCGAAAGCCUGACGGAGCAACGCCGCGUGAGUGAUGAAGGUCUUCGGAUCGUAAAACUCUGUUAUUAGGGAAGAACAUAUGUGUAAGUAACUGUGCACAUCUUGACGGUACCUAAUCAGAAAGCCACGGCUAACUACGUG
rnacentral:rRNA from 1 species